rnacentral:rRNA from 1 species
GAGUUUGAUCCUGGCUCANGAUGAACGCUGGCGGCGCUGCCUAACACAUGCAAGUCGAGCGAUAAAUUAAUGAAUGAACCUUCNGGUGAAUGAUUUAAUGGACAGCGGCGGACGGGUGAGUAACGCGUGGAUAACCUGCCUUAUACUGGGGGAUAACGUUUUGAAAAGAACGCUAAUACCGCAUAAGCGCACAGCACCGCAUGGUGUAGUGUGAAAAACUCCGGUGGUAUAAGAUGGAUCCGCGUCAGAUUAGCUAGUUGGUGAGAUAAAAGCUCACCAAGGCGACGAUCUGUAGCCGACCUGAGAGGGUGAUCGGCCACAUUGGGACUGAGACACGGCCCAAACUCCUACGGGAGGCAGCAGUGGGGAAUAUUGCACAAUGGAGGAAACUCUGAUGCAGCGACGCCGCGUGAAGGAUGAAGGUUUUCGGAUCGUAAACUUCUAUCAGCAGGGAAGAUAGUGACUGUACCUGACUAAGAAGCCCCGGCUAACUACGUGCCAGCAGCCGCGGUAAUACGUAGGGGGCAAGCGUUAUCCGGAAUUACUGGGUGUAAAGGGUGCGUAGGCGGUUUAAUAAGUCAGAUGUGAAAGCCCGGAGCUCAACUCCGGGACUGCAUUUGAAACUGUUUAACUAGAAUACAGGAGAGGUAAGUGGAAUUCCUAGUGUAGCGGUGAAAUGCGUAGAUAUUAGGAGGAACACCAGUGGCGAAGGCGACUUACUGGACUGUUAUUGACGCUGAGGCACGAAAGCGUGGGGAGCAAACAGGAUUAGAUACCCU